rnacentral:misc_RNA from 1 species
UUUCCGUAGGUGAACCUGCGGAAGGAUCAUUAUCGUAAAACCGAGGUGCGAGGGCUGUCGCUGACCUUUUCGGUCGUGCACGCCCGAGCGCUCUCACACAAUCCAUCUCACCCCUUGCGCACCACCGCGUGGGUCCCUUUCUGGCUCGUCCGGAGGGGGGCUCGCGUUUUCACACAAACUUGAAGUAGUGUAGAAUGUCCUUUUUUUGCGAUAACACGCAAUCAAUACAACUUUCAACAACGGAUCUCUUGGCUCUC